UGCCAGACUAUAAUGACAGCAUAGUUCAGAUGAGACAAUUUUGAUUACAAUACGGAAUACAUCUUUCGCUCCUAUCUGAUUCGAUUU